ensembl:lncRNA
GUGCUAUCAUUUUAGUGUCUUCACUUGUCAGCCAAAUGUCUCAGUAAACACAUGGCAUGGAAGUGGCAAUGCGCCAUUCUCCCCCUGGCAGGACGCUUCUUCUGGUCGUCCGUGUAUUAACGUUUCUCAUCGUUGGUUCACCCUCCGGACAACCCCGCCCCCCUCUCUCAGAAGCUCCGGACAAUCCGCUCGGCCUUUCUGGCUUCGUUGUUGAGCUCCCCGAAGGUGUCGAAGAACUGGUCCAUCUCUCGCUGGAUAGUGGCGUUGCGGGUCUCGGCGGCGGCCCGGGCCCGCUCCGACUCCUGAAUCCUGGCCUGGACCGCCUGGUACCAGCGGCGCUGCUGCGACAGGUUGACCUUCAGACCCAGCAGCUGGCUCUGCAGCUCCUCGUUCCUCUGCUCCAGGCUGCCUCGGGAACACGACGAGCCAGAGGGACUGAGGGCGUGCGUCCGGAAGGCUCCCUUCCACCAUCUUGUUUUUUUUCAAUAAUUAAAGAUGCGUCGACUGUGGCCGUGGCCACCCUGCUACCUGUGAUGACC